rnacentral:rRNA from 1 species
UGUGGAGGAAAGGCAGGGGAUCGCAAGACCUUGCGCUUUUGGAGCGGCCGAUGUCUGAUUAGCUAGUUGGUGAGGUAAAGGCUUACCAAGGCGUCGAUCAGUAGCUGGUCUGAGAGGACGACCAGCCACACUGGGACUGAGACACGGCCCAGACUCCUACGGGAGGCAGCAGUGGGGAAUUUUGGACAAUGGGGGAAACCCUGAUCCAGCCAUGCCGCGUGAGUGAAGAAGGCCUUCGGGUUGUAAAGCUCUUUCAGCCGGAACGAAACGGUCACGGCUAAUACCCGUGACUAAUGACGGUACCGGAAGAAGAAGCACCGGCUAACUACGUGCCAGCAGCCGCGGUAAUACGUAGGGUGCGAGCGUUAAUCGGAAUUACUGGGCGUAAAGCGUGCGCAGGCGGUUUGUAAGUCAGAUGGAAUGCCCCCUCAAACACACU